UGGGGAAUAUUGGACAAUGGACGAAAGCCUGAUCCAGCCAUGCCGCGUGUGUGAAGAAGGUCUUCGGAUUGUAAAGCACUUUAAGUUGGGAGGAAGGGCAGUAAGCGAAUACCUUGCUGUUUUGACGUUACCGACAGAAUAAGCACCGGCUAACUCUGUGCCAGCAGCCGCGGUAAUACAGAGGGUGCAAGCGUUAAUCGGAAUUACUGGGCGUAAAGCGCGCGUAGGUGGUUCGUUAAGUUGAAUGUGAAAGCCCCGGGCUCAACCUGGGAACUGCAUCCAAAACUGGCGAGCUAGAGUAGGGCAGAGGGUGGUGGAAUUUCCUGUGUAGCGGUUAAAUGCGUAGAUAUAGGAAGGAACACCAGUGGCGAAGGCGACCACCUGGGCUCAUACUGACACUGAGGUGCGAAAGCGUGGGGAGCAAACAGG
rnacentral:rRNA from 1 species